rnacentral:rRNA from 1 species
GCCCAGACUCCUACGGGAGGCAGCAGUGGGGAAUAUUGCACAAUGGGCGAAAGCCUGAUCCAGCAACGCCGCGUGUGGGAUGAAGGCCUUCUGGUUGUAAACCUCUUUUAUUAGGGAAGAAGGACUUCGGUUUGACGGUACCUGCAGAAAAAGCACCGGCUAACUACG